GAUGAACGCUGGCGGCGUGCUAAUACAUGCAAGUCGAGCGAACGGACGAGAAGCUUGCUUCUCUGAUGUUAGCGGCGGACGGGUGAGUAACACGUGGAUAACCUACCUAUAAGACUGGGAUAACUUCGGGAAACCGGAGCUAAUACCGGAUAAUAUUUUGAACCGCAUGGUUCAAAAGUGAAAGACGGUCUUGCUGUCACUUAUAGAAGGAUCCGCGCUGCAUUAGCUAGUUGGUAAGGUAACGGCUUACCAAGGCAACGAUGCAUAGCCGACCUGAGAGGGUGAUCGGCCACACUGGAACUGAGACACGGUCCAGACUCCUACGGGAGGCAGCAGUAGGGAAUCUUCCGCAAUGGGCGAAAGCCUGACGGAGCAACGCCGCGUGAGUGAUGAAGGUCUUCGGAUCGUAAAACUCUGUUAUUAGGGAAGAACAUAUGUGUAAGUAACUGUGCACAUCUUGACGGUACCUAAUCAGAAAGCCACGGCUAACUACGUG
rnacentral:rRNA from 1 species